rnacentral:lncRNA from 1 species
AUGAGCCCGAGAAUUAUCAUAGAGACUCCACAAGGAAAAUACCGCACCAAUCUUUCAUAAUUUUGCAAUCGUUGGCAAAGAAGGCCGACUAUGAGUCCCGUUCAACAAAUGUUGACUUCCCUUCUCAUAGUCUUUUGCCGAGUGCACAAACCACAAACACUACCACCUCAUAUUUGAAACAAUCGUUGCUCUAGAAUUUGAUUGAACAAACCACAACCAUGAUCGC